rnacentral:lncRNA from 1 species
UAUCUUCUUUGUUAUAACUCCAAAUUGCAUUUUGUUUGUUCCCACAUGUUUGUAGCGACGAGUAAUACGAGGAUAGGCUAAGAAAAUGAAUCUUACAUAACUCGACAAGGUAAAACAAGCACACAAAUUAAAACCCUUUUUUGACAAUUGUAGUAUGUGUAUAAGUAGGGAUCGUUCUAAACCGGGGAUUAGGAGGGAUUGCUAAUCUAAACUAAACUGACCUAAAAACAUAAAAACUAGACUCUAAAACUCUAACUAAGGUUAUAUGACUCAAACAACCUUAAAAGACUCAAAACAGCGUUAAACAAUCAAAUUGACUCAAACUAGACACUAGAGAUGACCUUGAGCGAAAAUUGAUUUGAUUAUGACUCAAGACACUCAAAAACACAAAAUAACAUAGAUUCUAACCUAAUUGACACUUAAAACAAAGGGGGGGGGGGUUUGGUUUUGAUGAAACUAAACUAAAACAAGACAGAAACUAAACUAGACAAAGUUUGGCACGAAUUUGGAUUUCUGGAUGGUUUGUGUGCUUAGCU